rnacentral:tRNA from 1 species
GGCUCAUUGGUCUAGUAGUAUGAUACUUUCUUCGGGUGUAAGUGAUCCCGGGUUCAAUUCCCGGAUGGGCCC